GUUGAUAUUGUCAUGUUAAGCACCUCCUAUUAUGAAUUUGUAACCAUUAAACAGACAUUGAACAAAUCAUGGUCAGAGCUCAUAUUUACACUGCCAGAAUACACUCAGUAAUCCUCAAAAAAAAGUUCAGCAAGUACUCCCUCCGUAAAUAGAUGCUCUAAUAUUUUUCUUUACAGAGGGAGUAUUUAUGAACUUUUUCAAGCAAAAGUGUACUUCUCUUCCAAGAAAUAAAAGAUCAGCAGGCUGCACUGACGUCUCCUCGAUAACACCGGAAGAGCUGGCACUACGUAUGGCAUGGAUGGUCGACGCGCUAGUCAAGUCAAUCUUCUCUCCGGAAGAGAUGGAAGAGAUGCUCUCUCAUCAGCAAGUCAAUGUUCUUGGGAUCGCUCACAGCCACGGGUGAUGGACCCGUACAAUCAUAUGCAGCGGCCAGGAAAAGGAAAGGCAUACAAAACCCGCCGCCGAUUGAGAACCACCACACCUUCAAUACGCGCACGAGACCAUCCGGAGGGCCCUCGAUUUGAUUCCCUGUCUGAACGGAGCCCUGCCCUGUUCUAGCCUACAGCAACCGGCAGCAUCUUCAGCAAUUUCGUUGCCUGCACGCCACACGUUUUUGUUUCCAUUACUUCUCGUAGGGAAGAUGAUAUGAUAUUUAUUUACUACUACGUAGUACUUGCUAAACAUGCGAAUGAACAAAUUGAAAAGCCGCGCUUCAGGAGAAGGGAAAAUAAGUGCAAUAUUACAGGUUUGAACUGGGAGAAUGCUGGAGCGGGGAGAAACGCAACGCGUUUCAGCUGAGCUAGUUCCAGGGAACUUCAGGGAGGAAAUUGGCGUCGAUAGCCGAAAGAUUCGAUUCAUGCCAACUGAGCCUGUAUCUUUGACCUUCCUUU
rnacentral:lncRNA from 1 species